rnacentral:ncRNA from 1 species
UACAUGGCUGUGAAAAGGAAAGUAAAAAAGGGAUUUGACGACCAGAGAGCUGCCUGAUUGCUGGGAGGGCGGCCGCGAACUCUUUUUGAAAGCCACCUUGGAGCCCUGCUUUUGAACGGUUCAGUAGAAAGCAGCGUUUUCCCCGCGUUACGGGGCGCAUGUCUUUUUGACAAGACUGCACGAGUUUGCCUUUUGCGAGAAAGGCAAAAAAGCUGAGUGGUACCGCGAUACCUUCGCCUCAGCA